UUAAAAAAAACUAUACUCUCCUGUCAUGCCUUUUGAAAGAGGAUGUCGACAAAAUACAAAAUAGUAAUCGUCGGCGAUGGAGGCGUCGGAAAGUCGAGUCUGACAAUCAUGUACACAAGUAACUACUUUGUCGAGGAUUAUGACCCGACAAUUGGUAUGGAACUAAUUAAUUUCUAGAACACGCAUCCGGUAAUUUCUAUAUCACACUCCUCAGAUGCAUUUGGUUGCACGAAGGGCUAACCCUCGCGUGCGUCUCGUGUUUGCCUCGAAAAACAAAGAAAAUGUACAACAGGCAAACGUUUGUAUUAAUGGCAACUACUACAUUCUGGAACUCUUGGACACUGCCGGACAGGGCGAAUAUUGCACCCUGCAAGGUCAAUAUAUUCGAGACGGACAGGGAAUACUUUUGGUUUACGCCAUCAACAGCAGGAAGAGCUUCUCAAAGGCGGAAGAGCUUGUGCACAGCAUUUUGGAAAUGACCGACGGGAACGAGUAUCCUGUCGUCAUUCUGGGCAACAAGUCGGAUCUGAAGAACGAAAGAACCGUGCCCACUUACGAAGGCAUCAAUCUGGCCGAGUCGUUCAACUUUGGCUUUCUCGAAACUUCUGCUAAAGAAAGAAUCAACGUGGACGAAGCAUUCCAGACACUCGUGACGAACAUCCGUAAAAUAGAACAGAAAAAUAAAUUGGAACUAUCACCCGCCAAAAAAACGGGGCGAGUUUGUUGUACCACUCUUU